CCAGACUCCUACGGGAGGCAGCAGUGGGGAAUAUUGGGCAAUGGGCGCAAGCCUGACCCAGCAACGCCGCGUGAAGGAAGAAGGCUUUCGGGUUGUAAACUUCUUUUCUCAGGGACGAAUAGAUGACGGUACCUGAGGAAUAAGCCACGGCUAACUACGUGCCAGCAGCCGCGGUAAUACGUAGGUGGCAAGCGUUAUCCGGAUUUAUUGGGUUUAAAGGGUGCGUAGGCGGAAUGCCAAGUCAGCGGUAAAAUCGCGGGGCUCAACCUCGCGCCGCCGUUGAAACUGGCGUUCUUGAGUGGGCGAGAAGAAGGCGGAAUGCGUGGUGUAGCGGUGAAAUGCAUAGAUAUCGCGCAGAACUCCGAUUGCGAAGGCAGCAUGCCGGCUCCACACUGACGCUGAGGCACGAAAGCGUGGGUAUCGAACAGGAUUAGAUACCCCCGUACA
rnacentral:rRNA from 1 species